rnacentral:lncRNA from 1 species
GUACCCUUGCAUUUCCUUUUUUCUAGGUUCAUUGUCAUAUCCUUCUGCAUAAGUUUUGCUACCUCAUCCACAUUCUCAUCACUUGCCUCAUCGGAUGAUAUAUCUCCAGGACAGGAUGCAGAAGACCCACUUACAUGUGCCUUGCCAAACAAGAUAUGCAGGUCACAAGGAACUUGGGUCCUUGUUUUCGAAACUUCAUAUGGUGGCAUUUGAUUCCUUUCUCACGAUUCUUGCAUCUCUAUAAUUAGAAAAAAAAUUUAGCAAGGCACACCAUAAUAAAGAAUGGGAAGAAUAUAAUUACAAUGACAACAUAGUUCUUACAACAAGGUGUUCAUCCCACCAUUCGUCUGAGCAAUCAACAGUUUGUUUUGCCUCAUCCCAUCCAAGACCAGUGCAUAAUUCUUGAACUCCAUAAACGUUGAAUACUCCUUUUUCAGAAGAUCUAACUUGUUCUUCAAUUGUUUUUUUCUCCUAUCACCGGAUUUUUCUGCAAACUUGGAAACAACAUUCUUCCAACCGGUAGUAGUAACAAUUCCCAUCGGCCUAUUCCCGACUUCAAUCUCUUCUUUGCAGGCAUCAAUCAAAUGCUUUAAAAAAGUAUCACCCCAAUCCGCUUUAUCACCCAUGCUUCAACCAAC